CCUGGUCCAAGACAUGAUUUCAGACAGGGACACCCAGAACCAGAAAAGUGACGUUGAGUAAUCCAGAACCUGCGGUGUAGUCCUCGGGGGCCGCCAUGUUGAGUUGCAGCGAUAACCAUCUUGGCCACAAUGGGGAUCGUGCCUCGAAUCACGCAGAGUGGAGGAAACAGACUCAGAGCAGUAGAAUGCUCUGCCCAGAAUCACACGGAUAGAAAGUGGCACAGCUGGGAUGAGCACCUGGCUCAUGGGCAAAGCCCAUGCUCUUGACCACCAUGCCAAGAAGACGGAACAAACAUAGUCCUUUCCUCCGCCUACUGCCCUUCUGAUUUCUUAAGCAAGAGCCCGUGUGUUCUUUUUUCCCACCUCCCUUCGCUCCUGGCUCUUUCAACUGUUCAUUUUCUGAAAGGAUUGGCAAUGGAAAUAAUCUGAGGUCCACGUGCUAAGAUGUGGAGCAGGAGUGGAAAAGCCAGGCUUAUUUUUGCAGCAUCCUGGUGUUUUACU